ACUCCUACGGGAGGCAGCAGUGGGGAAUAUUGCACAAUGGGCGCAAGCCUGAUGCAGCCAUGCCGCGUGUAUGAAGAAGGCCUUCGGGUUGUAAAGUACUUUCAGCAGUGAGGAAGGUGGGUAUGUUAAUAGCAUAUUCAUUUGACGUUAGCUGCAGAAGAAGCACCGGCUAACUCCGUGCCAGCAGCCGCGGUAAUACGGAGGGUGCGAGCGUUAAUCGGAAUUACUGGGCGUAAAGCGCAUGCAGGUGGUUUGUUAAGUCAGAUGUGAAAGCCCGGGGCUCAACCUCGGAAUUGCAUUUGAAACUGGCAAACUAGAGUACUGUAGAGGGGGGUAGAAUUUCAGGUGUAGCGGUGAAAUGCGUAGAGAUCUGAAGGAUACCGGUGGCGAAGGCGGCCCCCUGGACAGAUACUGACACUCAGAUGCGAAAGCGUGGGGAGCAAACAGGAUUAGAUAACCUGGUAGCGUAG
rnacentral:rRNA from 1 species